rnacentral:rRNA from 1 species
ACUGUACAGUAGAGUUUGAUCCUGGCUCAGAGCGAACGCUGGCGGCAGGCCUAACACAUGCAAGUCGAACGGCUCUUCGGAGCAGUGGCGGACGGGUGAGUAACACGUGGGAACGUGCCUUUUGGUUCGGAAUAACACAGGGAAACUUGUGCUAAUACCGGAUGAGCCCCCGAUCUUAGCGGAGAGGGUGGGAAAGAUUUAUCGCCGAAAGAGCGGCCCGCGUUAGAUUAGCUAGUUGGUGGGGUAAAGGCCCACCAAGGCUACGAUCUAUAGCUGGUCUGAGAGGAUGAUCAGCCACACUGGGACUGAGACACGGCCCAGACUCCUACGGGAGGCAGCAGUGGGGAAUCUUGCGCAAUGGGCGAAAGCCUGACGCAGCCAUGCCGCGUGAAUGAUGAAGGUCUUAGGAUUGUAAAAUUCUUUUAGCAGGGACGAUAAUGACGGUACCUGCAGAAAAAGCCCCGGCUAACUUCGUGCCAGCCGCCGCGGUAAU